rnacentral:rRNA from 2 species
UCAUCUUCGGGGGUAGAGCACUGUUUCGGCUAGGGGGUCAUCCCGACUUACCAACCCGAUGCAAACUACGAAUACCGAAGAAUGUUAUCACGGGAGACACACGGCGGGUGCUAACGUCCGUCGUGAAGAGGGAAACAACCCAGACCGCCAGCUAAGGUCCCAAAGUCAUGGUUAAGUGGGAAACGAUGUGGGAAGGCACAGACAGCCAGGAUGUUGGCUUAGAAGCAGCCAUCAUUUAAAGAAAGCGUAAUAGCUCACUGGUCGAGUCGGCCUGCGCGGAAGAUGUAACGGGGCUAAACCAUGCACCGAAGCUGCGGCAGCGACACUAUGUGUUGUUGGGUAGGGGAGCGUUCUGUAAGCCUGCGAAGGUGACCUGUGAGGGUUGCUGGAGGUAUCAGAAGUGCGAAUGCUGACAUAAGUAACGAUAAAGCGGGUGAAAAGCCCGCUCGCCGGAAGACCAAGGGUUCCUGUCCAACGUUAAUCGGGGCAGGGUGAGUCGACCCCUAAGGCGAGGCCGAAAGGCGUAGUCGAUGGGAAACAGGUUAAUAUUCCUGUACUUGGUGUUACUGCGAAGGGGGGACGGAGAAGGCUAUGUUAGCCGGGCGACGGUUGUCCCGGUUUAAGCAUGUAGGCUGGUU